rnacentral:lncRNA from 1 species
ACGGCUGCCUCCACCCGAAGUGGGAGUGGGAGUGAGAGUCCCUCUUACCAGCCCUCAACUAGGGAGAGCGUAAAAGUUUGUCUCAAGCGUUCCGAGCGCCCCAAGGCAGAUUGCCAGAAUUUGCUGCUUCCCACCUUUCCUCAAGACUUGUAGAAGUAAUGGACAGUAACAGUCUAAGACAAAUCAGCUCCUUCCUGUAAAAUAGAACAAGGGAACCAAGAGUCCUGAGAAAGCUGUGGCAAAUAUUUUUAUUGGCAUAGAGAGAAGAGCAGUUAAUAAGCUACUUAAUUGGCUUUAGAAACACUUUUAAUGGAAAAAUUUCUAGAAUUGAUGGCAUAUAGCAGAACAUGUAUAUUGUGGCCAUGGAAUGGUGUAGCAGAUUGCUGCAGAUGGUUUCAAUAGUUCUGCUGAAUGCUCCUUGUUUGUGCCUGCAAGAGGAACUCAAGGCUUUAUGUAUGGCCAUUGCUGUGACCUAGUGUGAUGCUCUACUUUUCCACUGAACUCUGCUUGCUCUAACUGAGGACCUUAGCUAUAAUUUAGCCUUUUCUUUUUAUAUUAAGCUGUUGUUGAGGAAGGAGCUUUGGCAAUAGAAGAAACCAAGCAGCAGGUUAAUUUCCACUGUUGACACAACUGGAAACGGAUCCCUACUUUAUGCAUUGGAGAUGCUAUGAAGACUACUCUGUCUGAUGUUUCCCUAUUGGGAUAGUGAAGUAUGAUGCUUCAUUGGUUGAGUGUAUGCAAUCAAAGUAAGAGUGAAAAAGGAAGAUCUGAGGAGUGGGCAGAUGCCUGCCGGGUAAACUAUUUGUGGCAUAAACUUGAGGACCCCACAGGAAAGCCAGAUGUUGUCAUGUGCUUCAAACCACAAUUCUGCUAUUGAAUGGGGGAUUACUGGUCAGUGACUAGCCAAAAUGGUGAGCUUCAUGUGCUGAGAGAACUACCUAUCUCAAAAAAAUAAGGUGAAAGGGCUAGAGAGGUGGCAAAGUAGCACUGACUGAUCUCUCAGAGGAGAACGUGGAUUCAACUCCUAGCACCCACAUAGCAGCCAACAACCAUCUGUAACUCCAGUCUCAGGGGAUUUAGUGCCUUCUUAUAUCCUCAGUGAACACUGCACAUAUAUUGUGCAUAGACAUACAUUCAGUCAAACAAACACUCAGACACAUAAAAAUAAAUGAAAUCUCAAAAUAUUUUAAAAAGAUAAUGUGGAGGGUGAUUGAGGCCUUAUAUUAAUCUUUAGACUUUACAAAAUGAGUUUUACACACACACACACACACAGAAAACACACAAACACACUAUAUGUACACACACAUAUAUACACUGACACACACACUUGAAAAAUUGUUAUUGCUUAAAAUUUUUUUGAUAACUUGUCUCAGAAUUUUUAUUAUUGAUUUUAUUAUAAUAUUAAUUUUUAGUCUACAGUAAAUCUUUAUGCUGGAACUAGACUUCAGGAUUAUUAUAAGAUAUAUUUAAUGUAUAAAUUUGAGUUCAUAAUUGUGAGAAUAAUUCUUUUAUGGUUGUGGUAAUAAAGUAUCAUUAUCUUCUUA